UGGUUCUAAAAGAAAUUUCCAGGUGUGAAGAGUAAUUUGGAUUUGUUUGUGAGAUCUCAUUCGAUCUGUGGUGCGAAUAGCAGUUCUGAAUCCGUUUGUAUUGUCAAAAUUUCACGAAAAUCUGUUGCACGUUCACGUUCACGUUCAUAUGCGUUUUCAAUCCGUUCAUCUUGUUCUUCAUUCUUGAUGUGAUUUUGAAAACGUGUGAGCAGAGUUUGGUGCGAAGGUGAGAAACAUAAGUUUGACGAAGAAUUUGUUCGGUGUGAAAUCUAAUUGAAGCGGUGUGGUGUUGGAGGAAUCACAAACGGAGGUGUUUUGCGGUUUUUGGCAAACGAAAUUGGUGUAAGGAGGUUUUGCGGCUUCCGGCGAACAUAAUCAGUGGACAGAGGUUUUUGCGGUUUCCAGUGACCUAAAUCAGCGAGGAGUUGUGUUUUCCGGCGACCUAAAUCGUUGAAACUGUGAGUUUCCGGUGCGUUUUCAUCUACAUUCUUCAUUCUCUGAAACGAUUUUUAAAUCAAGUGAUUGGAGAACACUGAAUGAGAUAUUGCGGUAAGGAGAUUUGAACCGCCGAAAUCAGAAUUUGCUUGAGAUUUGGUGCGUUGCUGGAAGAAUCAGUAACAGAGGAGUUUCAAUUUUCCGGCGAAAUCGGUUAACGGAGAAGACGAUCGAUUUGAAGCGAUUUGCUGGAGAAUUUGAGAUUCAGGGAGCACGAACUAAAAAGGAACUGUAGUGUUUCGUAUGAAUUGAUUCAUUGCAGCCAAGGUGUUUGUUCAUAAGCAUGAAUUAGAAUCGUGUGAGCUGAAGGUGUAGCGAAGUCCAGUGGCAUUCAGUUUCUGUGAAUUGAAGAGGUGCGUUCAAUUACAUUUACGUGCAAUUUUAAUUACAAUUGUUCUGUUCUGUUAAUCUUCGAAAUAAGAGAAGUUGAGUAGUGGAGUGGUUGAUCUGAGACGGUGUAAUUUUGAUUCAGUGUAGUUUGUGUUGAGUAGUUGGAAUAGGCAUUCCAUCAAACACUUUGGUGUUCUAUACUGAAUUGAAGGAUUUCCUGUGGUGAUUCAAUUGGACCAACAACUAAUUCAACAUAAACAAGUUAUUGGCAAUUGAUUUAACAGUGUAGUAAUUGUUUUGAUGUAGAUUUGGGUGCAGAAGUUUUAUGGUUUGGCUAUUUUGGUACAAAAUCCUGCACAUAAUUGGUGUAUAUUGUUGAAUAGUUCGCAGCUGCACAAUUUUAAUCUUUUGAUUAGUGUAAUUUGGUGGUAUAAUUUUGUGCAUUGAAACUGUUUAUGAAUUGAUCACGAUGUUGUGAUGUAGUAUGAUGACUUGAAUUGUUUGCAUCAUUUGGUUCAUAAUUGGUGUUUAUGAUGCAAUGCUUAAUUGAGUAAAAUUCCGGUGCAUAAUUGGUUGGUGUAUUGAUCCAGAGAUUUAAUUAAAAUUGCCUCAUUGAAUGCAAGAAAAGUGAGAUAGAGAAAGCAAAGUGCGUAAACUAAAUUGGUUCAAUUUUGUUGAAGCAAGAAUUUUACUGGUGCAAGUCUUGAUGCAGAAUUUUCCGGUUUAGCUUGUGAAAUUGGCAAAGUGAAGCUGUUGGUGAAUUUUGAAAUUGUAAUUGACAAGCGUAGGUCUUCAUACUAGCUGUUCUGAUUCAGAUUUGAUUGCUUGAAAUUGUUGAUCAUUUUGUGGCAGAUUUUAAUUAAAUAAAAAAAAGUAUGUCUGCAUUUGAAUUCAAUUUGUGAAUUACAAAUUCAUUGAAGCUGAUGCAGUGAAUUGUGGGGUCCGUAAAUUUGAAGAAUUUGAUGAGAAAUGGUGUGCCGAAGGUGCAGCGUGAAUCAAGUACUACCAAGGUGUGCAAUUAAUUGAAGAAAUUAAAGUAGAAUCAGUGAAAGCAAAUUGGAAAUUGUUGAAUCGGUGAAAGCGUGAUUGUGGGUGCUUUUAACUAACCAAAAAUUACUUAUGUGUUGAGUAAUUAGAAGUGUGUAUUGGCAGCUACUGGAAUUUGCAAUCACACGGUGGGACCCAUGCUUUAAAGUUAAAUGCAAUUUGUUGAAUAAUAAGGGAGCGUAAAUUUUGGUGAGAAAUUUGGCAAUUGGAGUUCCUUAGCACGGGACCUGCGAGAAUUGAGUUCUUUGGACCAAGCUAUAUUGGGCAACAACAUUUUGGAUUUCAUGGUCUACUAAGAAUUUUCAUCAUUCUUUGUUUUAAUUUUGUAAUCCAUUCUAGUGUCUAUCUUUAGGUGUUUUCUUUUGAGUGCCUAUUUUCUUGAAAACUUUUAAUUUUUUGCUUGUCUUGAUUUUAUGGAUAAUCUUUGUGUUUGUCAUCUCUAAUCUCCUUUGAGUUUGACUCUUCAAAUUGAGCUUUUAUUGCUUUUAUUAUUGACCUCUUGAAGUGGAAUAUACCUUGAAUUUGUUCUUUGUGAGAAUUGAGCUAACUUCUAGGUAGCAUCCUAAGAGAAGGAAAAAGACUUUGCAAGGGGUACUCACCUUUGGAGGACAAACAAGUAAAGGCUUGGAGAGAAACACUUGUGAGAGAAGAGAAGAAAACUUUGAAGAUUUUUUUUUUUUAAAAUUUUGUGUGAUUUCAAUUGUUUUGUAAUUUGGCCAUUAUCUUUACUUUAGGUGUCUUGGAAGAGCCUUUGGUGUUCUUCCAUCUCCUACAAGUUUUCUUUAAUUUUCUUAUUAGAUACACGCUUUAGACGGUGAGUGUGUCUUGAAGGUUCACAAGUGCCAACAAUCCUCACCAUUAGGAGUCGUCUAGUUUAAAUUUUUGCAAUUUAAAUUCUUAGUUUUUAAAAACAUUAUUUUAGUUUCUUUCUUUAGAAAACUCUUUGUUUGUGUUGAAGAAGUUUUCAUUGGAAGGAGAUUUGUGAAGUGCAUUGGGAUAAGUUCUGGCUAGGAAAGACUUGGUACUUAAGAGUGUCCAUUGUGACUCACCUCUCUUUCCUGGGAAUUUACCUUGUGUGCUAAACUCACUUUCCUUCUUGUGAAAAAUCUUUUAAAUACAAAGCUUAAUAUGUCUAUGUAUACUUAUCAUCAUAGUAGAAAAAAGAUUUAUAACCCUCAUUAUCAAAAAAAGGAAGGGAUGCGUUUUGAGCCUAGAAGUUUAUAUUAUUCUACCGAGCCUGAAGUAUACAUUCCUUACUUUGAUGGAAAUAAAAAUGUUGAAGCAUAUUUAGAAUGGGAAACAAAAGUUGAUCAAAUCUUUGAAAAACAAAUUGGAUGAAUUUAGCAGAUUUUCCAUGGCUACCCUAAGUUUUCAAGAAUAUGCUAGGUCUUGGUGGACAAAAAGGGAAAUUGAUGUUAUAAAUGGCAGAAAAUCAGAAGUACUUAAUUGGGAUGAGUUGAAGAUGUGUAUGAGAAGAAAGUAUGUUCCACCUUCAUAUGUGAAAAAG
rnacentral:lncRNA from 1 species